AGAGUUUGAUCAUGGCUCAGGACGAACGCUGGCGGCGUGCUUAACACAUGCAAGUCGAGCGAUGAAACACCUUCGGGUGUGAAUUAGCGGCGAACGGGUGAGGAACACGUGAAGAAUCUGCCUUCAACUCUGGGAUAACUCCGGGAAACCGGGGCUAAUACCGGAUAUGAGCCUCGAUCGCAUGAUUGGGGCUGGAAAGUUUUUCGGUUGAAGAUGACUUCGCGGCCUAUCAGCUUGUUGGUGAGGUAAUGGCUCACCAAGGCGACGACGGGUAGCCGGCCUGAGAGGGCGACCGGCCACACUGGGACUGAGACACGGCCCAGACUCCUACGGGAGGCAGCAGUGGGGAAUAUUGGGCAAUGGAGGAAACUCUGACCCAGCGACGCCGCGUGAGGGAUGAAGGCCUUUGGGUUGUAAACCUCUUUCAGUAGGGAAGAAGCGAAAGUGACGGUACCUACAGAAGAAGCACCGGCUAACUAUGUGCCAGCAGCCGCGGUAAUACAUAGGGUGCAAGCGUUGUCCGGAAUUAUUGGGCGUAAAGAGCUCGUAGGUGGUUCGAUACGUCGGAUGUGAAAAUCAGGGGCUCAACCCCUGACCUGCAUCCGAUACGGUCGAGCUAGAGUUUGGUAGGGGAGACUGGAAUUCCUGGUGUAGCGGUGGAAUGCGCAGAUAUCAGGAGGAACACCGAUGGCGAAGGCAGGUCUCUGGGCCAAUACUGACACUGAGGAGCGAAAGCGUGGGGAGCGAACAGGAUUAGAUACCCUGGUAGUCCACGCCGUAAACGGUGGGCGCUAGUUGUGCGAACCUUCCACGGUUUGUGCGACGCAGCUAACGCAUUAAGCGCCCCGCCUGGGGAGUACGAUCGCAA
rnacentral:rRNA from 1 species